GAUGAAGAACGCAGCGAAAUGCGAUAAGUAGUGUGAAUUGCAGAAUUCAGUGAAUCAUCGAAUCUUUGAACGCACAUUGCGCCUUCUGGUAUUCCGGGAGGCAUGCCUGUCCGAACGUCAUCAAGCCCCUCGCUUGCAUCUGUUGCUUGCAACCGAAGCCUGGGCGGCACAUGGCAGAUGGCCGCCUCCUGGUGGCCACUGCCGAAAUGUAUCGGCAGACCCUUCAUGGCUGUGAUUGUGAUAAGAUUUUACUUACAAUUGCUAUGCUGACAGGCGUCUUGCCACAAGCAUCCGGGAGGUCCUCCACGGGAUCUCUUGGUAAACCAAAUCUUUUGACUUCGGAUCAGGUAGGGAUACCCGCUGAACUUAAGCAUAUCAAUAAGCGGAGGA
rnacentral:misc_RNA from 1 species